rnacentral:lncRNA from 1 species
GCAAUCUCAGAAUAGAAAGGGGCAGGUGAAUGUCUACAGUUUGGCAACAAACACAAGAGAGUGUGAGGUACUGUUGCUCACCGCUUACUGAAUACCAGCUGUGGGUUGGGGGUGCGUGGCAAAAGGCUUGUCAAGGUAUAUUUGUAAUGUAAAUAGGAGAGGAGGAGAGCUCCCUAGCAGCAGAAGGCAUGGGAAAAGUGGUGUCUUUUUCUGACUCACCAGUGGUCCACCAAGUCCAGUGCUCUCUACUAUGACUGGCAAUGAUUCUCCAGGGUUCUUGGCCAAAGGUUUUCCCCAUUACUGCUACCUGAUGCCAGGGUUUAAAUCUGGGGAUCAUUUGCAUGCAGAGCAUGUGCUCUACCACUAAGCUAUGGUCCCUUCACUUAGACAUUUUAAAAUGUACAUCUGCCUUCAUCCUUCUGGCAGCAGUUUCAUAGGGAUUCAUACUGGGAGCCACAGGAGCUGUGCAGUCACCCAUCGAGGAUAUGACCAAGGAUGGCAGUGGAAACAUGUUAUGCUGGGGGAGAAAUGAAAUAGGAAAAGUGUUGGGAGGUAGGUUAAUAGAUUAGAAGGAGGAGGCUCUUCCAGGCAAGUGGAGUAACAUGCUGUUGGUAGAAGAAAGACUUAAAAGGGUAGAUGGGUUUUACAGAAUAAGGAGAAACUAAUGAGAAGGGGAGAAAACAGGAAUUGAAAGCAGACCUAAGGCCUAGUUUGCUGAAGCAGUAUGGUUGCCACUUUCAUAUUAUUCUAUCCCGCAGUGCUCCAGUGAUAUGUGAAGUAGCAAAGUCACAUGGGAAGAGAAGAUCAUGUACUGACCCUGCCAGCGCAUACAAAUUUUUGAAAGCUCAUAAAAUGAGGAUGGCAUUUGUGUGUGCGAGGAGUUAAGUCGUUUGCCAGUAGUGUUGUUAUAGGCACUAGGCAAUAAGUGUAUGUGACAUUCAUACAACUGCAUUCCAGACAGCAUUCCAGAUUGCAGUGACUGGGAGAGAGAAUUACAUUUCCCCAGUGAUUAUAUAUUGCAUUUUGAAUGCUAGAAAAAUAUGAUGUUCUAUCACAGCGGAGCUUCCUAAUGGAAAGGUGUCUAUCCCUGUUACAAAAGAGUAAAAAUUGCACGUGUAUAAAUAAGUGAAUAUAAGUUUGGCCAUGUGGAAAAACAAUAGUACUAAAAUGUCAGUGCAAAGCAAAAUCAAGAUUUGAUUUACUGCAUGAAAAAGAGUAACUAGAGAGUCCUUAGGAAUGUAGUUUUCAUAUAAACAAAGGGGAAAUGGCAUAGGCAAGGGGGUCUUGGUCAAUCCAAACCAUGCUUCACCAUCCCCUUACUGAGUGCCCUGCAUCAAGAGGACUAGCUGGUGUCUGGAGUAGGGACUUCCCUUGUUCACUGUGAGAUUGAUUAACUCAUGGAUGUCAUGUGGACUCCUCCAGCUUCUUUUUGCCCCAGAGAUAUAACCUUCAUAAGUUACAAAAGGCACAUUUAUCCCAUGACCAACAUUACCAAGUGCUACUGCCAGCUACUUGCUACUGUUCACAACCCAUGCAACAAAUGUAAGCUCUGUGUCUGGAUAGCCAAAUGCUCGAAGUGAAUAUACCAGAGAGAUCCUGUGUGGCUGUAAUUGUUUUUGUUUGUUCCUACUCAUGAAUUGAUUUGUUAACUGAUUGGUUCUAACUAUUGCCUCUUCUUUCCAGGUACCUUCCUCCCAGACCCAGAAGGUUCAUUUGCCCAUUGCCAAGAGCAAAAGGAAGAAGGCAAAAGGGCUAUUUGGCUGAUGCAAAUGACUCUUCCACAGAGACAGAAAUGCUGUUGUUGUAUUGAACUUCUCCCUCUUCCUGGAACAACUGGAAGAGAGAUGGACUUUUCUUCUCCAGAGUACAGCUAUGCCACUCUGUUCCUUCCCUCUCCCCUCUUUCUUGCCAUGUUGGGCACCAUAGUCGGGCAGUAUCCCCUUCCACACUACAGCUGUCUAUUGCCCUACCUCUGCUUAUUUUUUUCUUAUUUUCUGUAGCACAGAUACUAGCCUUGAAACUUGGAGAUGAUGCAUUCAAAGAAAAAGCAGGGAAAAGAAAGUGGACAGAGCAUGAACAGUGAUAGGAAUCCAAGACUGAUCGUUAUCUGGGCUUCUACUACACCUAUUCUGUCCAUAAAAUCUAUACCCCACUUUGUUAAUGUGUGUGUAAUGAAGUGUGUGUAAUGAAGACCUUGGAUAAAAAAGUUGGGCUUUCUGAUGCGGUGUCUUUUACCCAUGCACUAUACAAUGCAGCAUUGCCAGCAUCAAUCAGCUGAACCACAGCUUCUUUUUUCUACAAGCUUACAGCCUUCUUGGUGGUAGAUAAAUGUUUAAGAAGGAUGUGGACAUGGUCUAACAAAGGUGCAAAACCCAAAGCAGGGCAUGGGUUGGGGUUGUGUUGGUCUGUGUGAUUUGCAUGGUCUUUCUUCUGUCUCUGCACAGAAUCUAUGUCUCUUAAUCUGUGUUUUCCUUCCCUUCCACUCAGCACUUGCUUCCUCUCAUCCUUUGUUUAGUUCUACUCUUAUUUUUCACAAAAUAUACUGCAGAGGAUUAAAUUUUGAUGAAAUGAAGGUACAUUGUACUGAUUCAAGCAAAUUCACACAAACAUAAUUUUAGCCUGGGCUCCACUUUCCUUGAUGCAAACAUUUGCUUUUUUAAGGCACAGAAUAUGUUCUUCCCUAAAUAUCUAAUGUUCAGUCUGUGAAACCUUAGUCUUUUUACUGAUCCGACUUUUCCUGCCCUUAUAUCUAGAGAUAGGACAUAACCUUCUACCUUUACUUUUGCACAUAGGCAGUCCAAGGAAUGCUGGUGCCUGAGGUAGAAAAAUGAAACCUUCCCUAGUGGUAAUAAUAAUAAUAAUAAUAACAAUAAUAAUAAUAAUUUAAAUCUUUUGCUGCCUAUCAAUAUUCCAAAAAUUGCCAUAUACCAUGUCUAACAACAAGUUUAGAACUGCAGCAUCCAGAACUCGGAGCACAUAUGGGGUUCUCUCGGACUUUUUGUUUAAUAUCAUCAUGUUUGUAAGCUGAAGUUCCACACAUCCUGAAACUUUUUCUGCAACAUAGAUCUACACAACUUUGGACUUGCCCAGCUGAAUGACAUCUUUCAUCUGAGGAGCACAGGGCAGUUUAUAGUAUUUUUAAAAAUCACCUUUCUGCCCCAUACAAGUAUAAGGGCUCACUGAGAUCUCAGUACAUCUAUUGCUUUUGCUAUUUGAGACCACAAGAACAGUGGGGUGGUAUAGCACCUGACCUGGCAAUGAUAGCAUUAGGCUUCUGGGCUCUGUUUGGCUUGUGUGGUCAUGAGUUGUACAGGACUGUGCUGUAAACCCUUCUUACUUAUACAGUUCAUUACUACAUGGUCCUGUCUUCACUGGAGUACAGUUCUCUCCUUGCACUGACUUUUACUCCAUUCUUAUGCCCUUCUUCCACCCUUCAACCUGCAGAACUUCACUAUACCAAACCUCCAGAUUUUUAUAGCAAACAUUGUGUCAUUUGAUGCCCAUGAAGUCCUAGUGUUGUGAAAGGAAGCAGUUUACUGUAGCUGCAAAGCAGGUUUCUAACAUACUACCCCCUCAUACCUGCUUCCAGGAUCAAAAGGCGAAUAAAAACAGAUUGCUCUUGGCCAAAGGAAUUACAGGCUAUCAUUGCAAGCAAGCUGGAAAACCACAUCCUAGAGGCCAGAAGGGGAAGAGGCUUCUGCUAUAGCAAGUGAUGCUAAAGAAUUACCUUCCCCCAAAUGCUGUCCUGCCCACUUUGGCUGUCAGUCAAGUAGUGCUCAUGCUGUCCUGCUGGGCCACACCCAAUAGCCACAGAACCAUUCACAAUGAAAUUAACUCCUCUGACCUUAGAGGGAAUUAAGCUAAAAAGUCUCUUCCUUUUCCUCCCCAGUGAAGCCAGAAUAGUUCAACUCUGCUGCCUGUUAACAAGAUACUGAUAUGAAAAAUGAAGAAAUAGUAGAUGCAGAGUUCUGGAAUUAUCUAAAGAUUCAUCCUAACAUAUUGGGGUUUGUCCACUGACAUAGUGCGACACAUUGUGCUAUGGUUCCCACUGCAGAAACAGAAGGACAAAAAGGUUUCAGUGAACUGAUUGGAGAGUCUUAAAUUGAUUAACCAGAACAGUACAGUUUUACAUUACUGAAUGUUUUUAAAAUGAAAUCUGGAGUUUAUGAAAUCUUGAAAUCUGGGGUCUUAAAUUCAUAUUUUGAACCAUAUAGAAUGAGUCAUUACAUAAUAUAUAACUUAAUGUUCUGGGAGGGCACAUGCUUUGCAUGCAAAAGAUCCUGUGUUCAAUCCCUGGUACCUCCAGAUAGAUUUGGAAAAUGCACCUGUCUGGAACCCUGGAUAGUCAGCCACUGCCUGCCAGUGUACAAUGUACUUGCAGUCAGUCUUAGCUCCCUAGUUUAUCUAACACUAAUUUUAUACUCUAACUUCAUACCCCUCCAUUUCUAUUGUUGACAUAUCUGUCUUUUUAAAGUAAUUAACAUGAUUAUGUUUAUUACAUCUGAAUAUAUAUUGGGGGAGGGGAAAAAUUGUUGAAACAUAGAGCCCCUCCAGAUGUCUUUUUUAUUGCACAUUCAUCAUGAUUUGCCCCCAAUGUGUUAAUGGUGAAGUUGUACAUGAUUGCACUUUCAAUAAUGCGCCUGUGAAUGUUCCAGGGUGAUUAAACUAGAUUAGUUGCAAUUGAUGCUUGUCCUGUGCUUUCUUGAUAACAAUUCUGUAACUUCUUGUACUACAAAACUACCAACUUCCUGUCUUCAUCCACGUGGGUAACACACAGCACAUAAAACUCCAAACAUAACAAACAAAACCCCAAGCCCUAAGCCUACAAUUUCAGGCAAAGGAAACAUGCCUGUAGGGGAAGUGUGCAAAGAUUUGUACUGAGACAGUAAGGGACAAAACUGCACAUCUCCUGAUACAAACUGAGGAGGCAAACAAACAUCUUUCCCCCCCUCCCCAAGAAGUCGGGGGCAGCUUGAAAGAGUGAACACUCUUGGGUGUGUAUCCUCAUUCCACUGUUAUCUUUGAUCCAAUAAGUUUGGCAGGCUUUUCAUUUUUGAAAAAUCCUGCACAAUCUGUUGGAACAUAAGCAACAAUGUGACAAAGGGGACAUGUUUGUACACCACAAGAAGCAAAGCCUCUUUCAAACCACUUUCAAUUCUCUUUAAAACAAUCAUCUGGCUCCUGUCUGAGGAUGUCCUAGAGGCUGUCAUUCCAAGCAAACACGCUACAGGCAACGGGCAGAAUGGGUGUGAGCUCUGUCUGCAGAACACAGUCCCUGAC